CACAAACAAUCCACAUGGUCAGUGGCGGAGAUUUGAACUUGGAACAGGGGGAAGAAGGAUUAGCGAUGAGAUAUUUGUAAGGUGAUGACUUGCCCAGCAAUAGAAAUCUGAAACCUUUGCAGGGUAGGCCUACUGACACUAACCACUGAGAAGCGAUCUUCAUUAUACUUAUGUUUGAAGUUAAAGUUUAAAAUGUAUUUCGCUCCUGCAGAUCCUUACAUCAAUACGACAUUUAAGCUAUUUUAAAAAUGUUAUGAGUGCUAAUGAAUGCAUUUUGGAUCUCAGAGUUAUCCCAAAGAUGUUUACAUUUGGCUGUAAACUUUAUUGCUGCAUGAAAAACUGCGGCGGAGUUGACUCAAUAGCCAAUCCCUGUGUCCAAAAGCGUGAGGAGAUAUAUACCCCCAUUUCCUGGGAUGUGACCUAUAAACGACCACGACUGAGCGUGUCACAUUGAAAAGAUACUUUUAUCAUUAUCAUUAUUUUAAGUAGGUGGAUAAUGAGAACGAAAGGUUUUAUUCUAAUGCUGACUUUAAGAUAGAUUUCCUACACUAUGGCAGAGGUGACGUUUUAAUACUUUGCAACGGGCUGUUUGCAAACUCUUCUCAUCCAGUCUUUGAUGCAUCUACCAGUGUCAUAGGUGAAAGUGAUCCCGGGACAGAUAAGAUGCUUAUAAAUGUUUCCUUAUGGUAUCCCUAUGACUAAUGUAAGUGAUAAUUUACAUGUAUUCAUAAAACAAAACAGACGGACAAUUAAAAAUUUGAAAACUCCAAAAAGUGCUGAGCGUAAUGUAGUGGCAAGAAUUACUAGCGCCAGAUAAGGUUGUUGAGGCCCGUGAGAAUUGCUUGAAUUGUCUGUUAUAUCUUUAUGAAAAACGUUUUCCACAGUGUGAGCUCCAAAGUCGUUUUAUGUCAAAAGCACCGUGGAUAAGAGAAGGAAUCUAUAGUUCAAUCAGAGAAAAUAAUUCAUAAUAAAUCUGGCAACCUAUAGUUUACAAAAAAGUUAACAUACGUAACAACAAUGGCAAUUAAGAGAAAAAUACUAAAGGAAGAAGGAAGCUCAUCUAUUCUUUGCUCUAUUAGAUUUCGUCCUAUUUUAGGCAGAAUUAUGCUACCAUUUGCUCUAAAAUUAAUAUGAUUAAUUUAUUGAUUUUAGCAAGAAAAUAGCGAGAGAACUUCCUCAAUCAAGCAACGCAUUUGAACAUUUUUUUGGUAAAAGUGUGCACAAUUUAGUUUUGCCCCUGUUACCGAGUUUCCAAAGUGCAUAAUGGAAAUGCCACAGGUUACUCUGGUAUAACUAUUCGUGUCAUUAAGUAAUCUGGUUAUGUCCUUUUGGAGCCCUCGUUCGUCACUGGUAUUUUCCUGAAGUGUUUAAAUUAAUAGUAGUAACUAUCAUCAAAUAUGAUACACAGAUCAAUAACCAUGUUUUUCUAUUUUCUGGCAGAAAUAAAAAACAAUUAAACUGCAGAACCGCUCGAUGUAUUUGAUAAGCCAGCAAGAUCUAUUAUCAGAAAUCUCAUUUUGGGCAUUAAAAAAAAAAGGUUUAACAGUGUCAGCAAUUAUUAGUGUCUUAAAAUAAUAAACUGAAAACAGACAGUUAUCCUUGGCGUAUGCCUGUACCUGUCUCAGGCUCAUGAUACUGCAAAUCAAGCCAUUCGUAUUCACACAUUAGAGCAGUUUUGCAUACGUGGAAUCGCCUGAGAGGUCUUGGGUUACAAUUUAAAAUGUUAUUUCUUCAUGACUAUGUUUUCCUUUUGCGUACUUAAAUUGUUCUUUCCUGAGCUUUGACUUUUCUACUGGUAAGCAGUGUUCCAAUGAUUAAUCUUCAGAUUUAUUGCCUGUUCCUUUCAUCAAAUAGCCUGCUCUUUCUUCAGUUUAUCUUUAAUGUUCCUGCUCUUCUAGAAGAUCACAGUAUGCUCUUUGUAUCCACUUCCUUUAAUCUCUGACUAGUACAGCAGUAUGUACACUCCCUGUAAAUUUUCAGGAGAUCAGCAGGAUGUUGGGACACUUAAUCCCUAGUUGUUGUUCAUACCUUACUCCAAGCUGUGAAAGCCAUAAACUUCUGCUGAGUGCUCAUCUGCCUAGAUACUAGAUGACCAAUCAGUAUUGGAGUCGUGUGUGGAACUUUUUAAGUUGUCCAAUGAGAGCUUGAGCUAGUCAUGUGGCAAAGACAUGUUGUGGGGAGCAGUUUGCCCGAGAGUUUUGGCAAACUGGGCAUUCCAAGCUUUGCCAUUGUGCUGUCUACAUGCCUGCCGAACUCUGUCUGCACUCUGCACUACUUUUCUUUGGACUGGCAGACUUCAAAAUCCAAGUAUUCCGCUUAUGUUCACCAGUGUUGGCUCUCUAUCUUAGACACAGCACAAAUACACCAAGGCAUCUGCGGCACUAAUCACCAGCAUCAACCUUGCAAGAUCCUUAAGUAUUCUUUUACGUUACAUUUCUUCUGCUGAACUUUGCCCGUUACUUUUGCCGACUGCCUACACAACACAACGGACUCGUGUCAUCCCACCUUGGAACGACUCGUCGCAACAUUGGCGCCAAAUUUUUUCUUGAGCACAAAGUGUGUUUUAACUUAGCAGGAUCCUGCAUUCUCUGUAAACCUCAUAUUUCCAUUUAUGGCCACUGGUGUUCUCUACAUUUACUUUGUGUUUCUCGUAUUGAUUGGCUUAGCUCUUUCACUCCAAUAAAGCAAAAUCUCUUUGGUAUCGUGAAUGCUGAAUUGUGUGAAAUUUGGUCCCUGCUAUUUUGAAAUGUGAACCACAGGCUACAUUUCAUACAUGAAUGUUUUCCCUAGAAUUUCCUAUAGUCUUUUUACUUAUGCAGUGAGUCUCUUACAUAAGCAUCAUAUUGUAAAUACUUUAGCAAUCCAAACACAGAGCUUGUAAAGGGAAUGAAUGGCUCCUGUCUAAAAGAAUUCUCAUUUAAUUUAAUUAACAAAAAUUGCAUGAUAAUUUUGGCACCGGACAAAAAAACUUAAACACAAAAUACUUUUUCCCAGUUGGCGUUGUGCUCCUCUUAAUCGGGUCAAAAGUCCCAGGUAUUUAACUGGAUAAGAAUCUCUCUCUUGGAGUAAACAUAUUUACGUGUCGUGUGGUAAAUUCUUCGAAAUUGUUGUCGAAAACUGUACAUUUAACUUUAUUUAAAACACUUAUUCUGUUCUACUAAAUUAAUCCAUUCUGACCUAGGGUAGCCCAACCUCUUAAUGCAACAAGCUGCUUAUUUCACAGACGAAAGUUAUCCAAAAAUAUCAAACACAGACCACUUAACUUAUACAACUCCAUUAUUUGCAAAGUAAGGAAUACUAAAUAUAAAUUUCUUUUUAACAUUUAAACUUGGGUAAAUUUAUGUGUGUAUACAAACAUGGUUUUUUACUGCGCUAUUUGAAUUCCUGUUUCCAAUUACAGUCUUAUCCCAAAAUUUGGGUCCUUUUAGACAAACCGAUACGGAUCUGGCAAGACUCUCAACUCGACAUAUUUUCACUUAUAAACCUACCUUGUCAGUUUGCAUAAUGAAAAUUGGUUCAUGUAAUCAUGUCAGUCUACUUUUACUGUCUUACUGUUGUGUGUCCCUGCAGCGUAUCAUGUUGUAUUGUCCAAUAUCUCCUAUCUUACGUUUAUGGUCUGGUCUGAAUUAUUGUUGGUGCAAAAGGAAACCUAGAAGCACAAGUAUUCUUUUUUUCUAAAUGUUGGUAAUAAGUCAAACUAUGUCCAUUUAUCACACCAGUUCUCAUUAAUUGUAAAAACAUUCAUUGCAUAUAGGCAAUUCAUAUAUUUGGGACCUCUUUCGUCGCCAACAUGAAAUAAAUGCAUCUUACAGUAUGGGGCAAAU
rnacentral:lncRNA from 1 species